CCGGUAGCUCAGUUGGUAGAGCAGAGGACUGAAAAUCCUUGUGUCGGUGGUUCGAUCCCGCCC
rnacentral:tRNA from 1 species